rnacentral:rRNA from 1 species
GACGAACGCUGGCGGCGUGCUUAACACAUGCAAGUCGAGCGGUAAGGCCCUUCGGGUACACGAGCGGCGAACGGGUGAGUAACACGUGGGUGACGUGCCUUUAGCUCUGGGAUAAGCCUGGGGAAACUGGGUCUAAUACCGGAUAUGACCUCAUGAUGCAUGUUGUGGGUGGAAAGCCUUGUGCGGCUGGAGAUGGGCCCGCGGCCUAUCAGCUUGUUGGUGGGGUGAGGGCCUACCAAGGCGACGACGGGUAGCCGGCCUGAGAGGGCGACCGGCCACACUGGGACUGAGACACGGGCCCAGACUCCUACGGGAGGCAGCAGUGGGGAAUCUUGCGCAAUGGGCGAAAGCCUGACGCAGCGACGCCGCGUGAGGGAUGACGGCCU